AUGAGGGAAAGGUGGGUGAUGCAGGACAGCUGGGAGAUGAUGCUGUGCCUGCACCUGCUGAGGCUGAGAGGAUACAGCUGUGUCUGCUGUAGCUCAUACCUCCGUGUGCUUUCUCUGUGGGGCUGGAAACAGAGGAGGAACUAUGCUCCCAGACAGAUUAAAAGCACUCGAAAGGAAGUCAAGCUGGGGAAGAGCCUCCUUGGGUACGCAGAACAAAGUCACAGUGCCCACGGGAAGGCAGUGCCGUGUGAUGAGGAGCUGCGCCAGGGCUGGAGAAAGCCUGAGUCCUGCUGCAUCCCGAAGGAAGCAGAGAUGAUGGGCUUGUGUGACUUCAAGCAUAAGCGUGACGUUACCACAGUGUUGCUCCGUCAGCGGGCAGUGGCACAUAGCAGGCAUGGACCCAGGCAUGCAGUACAGCCAGCACACAGCCCUGCCGAGAGCCCACCAUGCACAUCUCUGCCUUGCUUCACCACUUUGGCCCAAGCUCCUGAGCCAAUGUCUCUGUCCCACAUUCAGCUCCAAGCAUUCUGAAGUGAUGUCCUCUGAUAUGACAUAUCCCAUCGGUAACUCUUGCAUACCUGAAGAUAUUCCAAUUAUAUAACCACCUCAGGAAACAGAGAGGAAUGAGACCUGGGAUUACAUCUCUGAUGCGAUGAGCUGCAGCACAACCUAGAAGGAUUCAUCCAUUGCCCAACAAAGGUCACCUUCUGCUCACUAGGACAUCAAACCUCACAGCAUCCUCAUACGAUGAGAACCUUUUGCUGGAUCCCCGCUUGGGAGCAAG
ensembl:lncRNA